rnacentral:rRNA from 1 species
UACGUAGGGGGCAAGCGUUGUCCGGAUUUAUUGGGCGUAAAGGGCGCGUAGGCGGUUCGUACAGUCAGACGUGAAAUUCCUGGGCUCAACCUGGGGGCUGCGUUUGAUACGUGCGGACUUGAGUGCGGAAGAGGGUCGUGGAAUUCCCAGUGUAGAGGUGAAAUUCGUAGAUAUUGGGAAGAACACCGGUGGCGAAGGCGGCGACCUGGUCCGAUACUGACGCUGAGGCGCGAAAGCGUGGGGAGCAAACAGG